AAUGCAAUCGUAAUCUAAAAGUUAACGCAUUGUAUUAAAUAGAUGCACGUUCAACUGAGUGUUUUAUCAAUACACAAUCACAUUUUUUUAAUUAAUGGGAUUAAAUAGUUUCUAUUCAUAUUUGGUAAAAAAAAAAGUUCAGCAGUAGCUGUAUGAUUGCAGAUUGUCAAUGAGACAACUCCCCAGUGACUAGUUGCAUUUUAACUGGUCCUUUUGACUCUUUUUCGUAACAAUACUUGUAUAACCUUUUUAAGGCUAUUUUCUCACGAUUUGAAUACACAAUCAUAAAGGAGAACAAUUCCAUUUCGUCGCACUUUAACAGUGCAUAAAACAGCAUAUAUAAUACACCACUGAAUUCGACCACUUGAUACGGCAAGUUAAAAUCAGAUAAUAGAUUUUUCUUCAAAACCAAGUUUCUGUUAUUAAUUUCUUAAAACUAAAUAUACGAAUAAUGUGUGCGCACAAUACAUUAGAAAGUUAGCACCUUUUAAGACAC
rnacentral:lncRNA from 1 species